AUUAUAAUAUUAUCAUAAUUUAUAAUUAGUUGGACACACGCAUAGAGAGGGUUUCGUCAUCUUCUGCAGGCUACAGCUAUCACGAACAAGCGAGUAUGCACCUUACAACGUAUUGAUAUAUUUAUGUAUAGACGAUGAAGGUUAUAUCACUUAAAGAUGAUGAGUAUGCAGUGGACAUUGCUAAAUUCAUUGGAGGAUUGCGGAUAAUAAUAAUGUGGCCAAAAGACCAAUUUAGCAGACCCGAGAAGUUGCGACAGUAAAUACAAAUGUACUUGUGAAUUUAGUCAUUUGUGCCGAGUACACAAGAGCCUGUGCAAGUCUCAUGAUAACGACCUAUGCAUUGAAAUAUGCCGCGGUGCAUCACCAGACUUACUAUAGGGCCUUAUACUUUGGAUUUGGUGACGCUAACCUUCGUUUUAAUUUGAUUGAAAAAUAAUUUUCGUGUAUGUACUCUGCAGUCUCAAUUGUGCCGAUGUCAAUUUCAAUAAUUUCAUAUGGUAUUGCAUACAAAUAAAAUCUGAGUUUGAUAGGGAUCACCAUCUAUUUUUUCAGUCACUUACACUGUCUGGAAAACAAAAUUUGACAGGGCAUCCUGUUCCAUAAUCAUCCACUGGCAUGUUUUUACAAAACUA